UGUCUAAAUCCAUCUGGCUCAAACAAAUCUGAAAAUGAGUCAGGGAUGGUAGAGCAGGCCUGUAAUCCAGAGUUUAGGCAGGAGCUUCCUCAGUUACAUCGUUACAUAGUUACUCAGUUACAUAGUUACUGAGGCCAGGGCUACAGAAAACAAACCAAUAAAGAGCCAUUGUUUCUAGAAGGCCACACCAAAUCCCAUAGAUGGGGGAGGUGAGGAAGGGGAGGAAAGGAGGAACAAGUAAGUGAGCGGUCAAGCUGAACCCUCUUGGCCAUUAUUAAUAUGCAGCACAUGCCUGCUAGCUUUCUGGUCAGUACUGACUCCCCCUCAGCCUUAGCUCAGACUGAUUCUUCCAAGAGUCCUUUGAUUCCCCAGUCUAGACUACCUGUCCCUGCUGUGCACCAGCCCUUGUAACAGCCUGUUCACUUUGUUCCAUGGUACUUACCACUGCUCAUUCUACCACGCCCUUCCCUGGUAUCGGAUGUUUCUCCAGUGCGAGAGUUAUGGCAUGUUCAGCACAGGCCCCCAGGCCCAGGCAGGCUGCUGACUUCUGUCAGAUGUUGCUAUGGGUUCUCCUGCGGUGAUAAACCACCAUGACCAAAAGCAACCUGAGAAGGAGAGGGUUUAUUUCAGCUUACACUUUCAGUAACCAUAAAUCAGUGCAUCAUUCGACCCUUGGCUUCCUUCCGGAGAGGACAAUUCACAGAAACUCACAGCUGGUCAACAUACAGAGAAACGAUAUGGAAACGCUCAGCCCUCCAAGGCUCAGGGAUCUACGAGGAAGAGAAGGCAGAAAGAUUUAAGAGCCAGAGUUGUAGAGGACUUCAGAGAAACUUUUCCAGACACAGCAGGGUAGGUGCACAAUGAACUAACAGAGCUUGUGAGAGUGCACACAAGGCUGGCACAAGCUCAAGUCAGACUAAAUCCAGCGUGGGGGAGGGAAAGUGGGCAUGGCUCGCUGAGGAACUGUUGGCCUCUGAUCACUGCUGGGACAGUCAGUUUUCUUCAAGGAGUGACAUCUGGUUGAUGGACCAGUCCUAUCCCUUGAGUAGUCUGCUAACACAAGCUGAAUUCCCGUUUUGUUCUAAGAUAGAGAAAGCAUAUGAAGUUGGGUAGGGAGAUGGAGAAGGGUGAUCU